rnacentral:rRNA from 1 species
AACGAAUGCUAAUACCGUAUACGCCCUCCGGGGGAAAGGUCAGCCGCUAAAAGAGGGGCCCGCGUCUGAUUAGCUUGUUGGUAAGGUAAUGGCUUACCAAGGCUUCGAUCAGUAGCUGGUCUGAGAGGAUGAUCAGCCACACUGGGACUGAGACACGGCCCAGACUCCUACGGGAGGCAGCAGUGGGGAAUAUUGGACAAUGGAGGCAACUCUGAUCCAGCAAUGCCGCGUGUGUGAUGACGGCCCUAGGGUUGUAAAGCACUUUCAACGGUGAAGAUGAUGACGGUAGCCGUAGAAG